rnacentral:rRNA from 1 species
UACGGGGGGAGCAAGCGUUGUUCGGAUUUACUGGGCGUAAAGGGCGCGUAGGCGGUCGUGACAAGUCACUUGUGAAAUCUCCGGGCUUAACUCGGAACGGUCAAGUGAUACUGUCGGACUAGAGUACAGAAGGGGGCAACUGGAAUUCUCGGUGUAGCGGUGAAAUGCGUAGAUAUCGAGAGGAACACCUGGCGGCGAAGGCGGGUUGCCUGGGCUGAUGACUGACGCUGAGGCGCGAAAGCCAGGGAGCGAACGGG